CCUACGGGAGGCAGCAGUGGGGAAUAUUGGACAAUGGGCGAAAGCCUGAUCCAGCCAUGCCGCGUGUGUGAAGAAGGCCUUCGGGUUGUAAAGCACUUUCAGUGGGGAAGAAAGCCUUGGGGCUAAUACCCUCGAGGAAGGACAUCACCCACAGAAGAAGCACCGGCUAACUCCGUGCCAGCAGCCGCGGUAAUACGGAGGGUGCGAGCGUUAAUCGGAAUUACUGGGCGUAAAGCGCGCGUAGGCGGUCUGAUAAGCCGGUUGUGAAAGCCCCGGGCUCAACCUGGGAACGGCAUCCGGAACUGUCAGGCUAGAGUGAAGGAGAGGAAGGUAGAAUUCCCGGUGUAGCGGUGAAAUGCGUAGAGAUCGGGAGGAAUACCAGUGGCGAAGGCGGCCUUCUGGACUGACACUGACGCUGAGGUGCGAAAGCGUGGGUAGCAAACAGGAUUAGAUACCCCAGUAGUC
rnacentral:rRNA from 1 species